CCUACGGGUGGCUGCAGUGGGGAAUAUUGGACAAUGGGCGAAAGCCUGAUCCAGCCAUGCCGCGUGUGUGAAGAAGGCCUUCGGGUUGUAAAGCACUUUCAGUGGGGAAGAAAGCCUUGGGGCUAAUACCCUCGAGGAAGGACAUCACCCACAGAAGAAGCACCGGCUAACUCCGUGCCAGCAGCCGUGGUAAUACGGAGGGUGCGAGCGUUAAUCGGAAUUACUGGGCGUAAAGCGCGCGUAGGCGGUCUGAUAAGCCGGUUGUGAAAGCCCCGGGCUCAACCUGGGAACGGCAUCCGGAACUGUCAGGCUAGAGUGCAGGAGAGGAAGGUAGAAUUCCCGGUGUAGCGGUGAAAUGCGUAGAGAUCGGGAGGAAUACCAGUGGCGAAGGCGGCCUUCUGGACUGACACUGACGCUGAGGUGCGAAAGCGUGGGUAGCAAACAGGAUUAGAUACCCUGGUAGUC
rnacentral:rRNA from 1 species